AUUGAACGCUGGCGGCAGGCCUAACACAUGCAAGUCGAACGAGUGGCGGACGGGUGAGUAAUGUCUGGGAAACUGCCUGAUGGAGGGGGAUAACUACUGGAAACGGUAGCUAAUACCGCAUACCAUCGGAUGUGCCCAGAUGGGAUUAGCUAGUAGGUGGGGUAACGGCUCACCUAGGCGACGAUCCCUAGCUGGUCUGAGAGGAUGACCAGCACCACUGGAACUGAGACACGGUCGAGACUCCUACGGGAGGCAGCAGUGGGGAAGAUUGCACAAUGGGCGCAAGCCUGAUGCUGCCAUGCCGCGUGUAUGAAGAAGGCCUUAGGGUUGUAAAGUACUUUCAGCGGGGAGGCGUUACCCGCAGAAGAAGCACCGGCUAACUCCGUGACAGCCGCCGCGGUAAUUC
rnacentral:rRNA from 1 species